rnacentral:rRNA from 1 species
UGAGGAAUAUUGGUCAAUGGACGGAAGUCUGAACCAGCCAAGUAGCGUGCAGGAUGACGGCCCUAUGGGUUGUAAACUGCUUUUGUAUGGGGAUAAAGUUAGGGACGUGUCCCUAUUUGCAGGUACCAUACGAAUAAGGACCGGCUAAUUCCGUGCCAGCAGCCGCGGUAAUACGGAAGGUUCGGGCGUUAUCCGGAUUUAUUGGGUUUAAAGGGAGCGUAGGCCGGAGAUUAAGUGUGUUGUGAAAUGUAGACGCUCAACGUCUGACUUGCAGCGCAUACUGGUUUCCUUGAGUACGCACAACGUUGGCGGAAUUCGUCGUGUAGCGGUGAAAUGCUUAGAUAUGACGAAGAACUCCGAUUGCGAAGGCAGCUGACGGGAGCGCAACUGACGCUUAAGCUCGAAGGUGCGGGUAUCAAACAGGAUUAGAUACCCUGGUAGUCCGCACAGUAAACGAUGGAUGCCCGCUGUUGGUACCUGGUAUCAGCGGCUAAGCGAAAGCAUUAAGCAUCCCACCUGGGGAGUACGCCGGCAACGGUG